GACCACUCCAGUGGCCCAGUGGUUAGAGAGUCCACUUCAGAUUUGGGAGGUCUUGGGUUUGAACCCCAGCCGAGUCA